rnacentral:rRNA from 1 species
UACGUAGGUGGCAAGCGUUGUCCGGAAUUACUGGGUGUAAAGGGAGCGCGGGCGGGAAGCCAAGUCAGCUGUGAAAACUACGGGCUUAACUUGUAGACUGCAGUUGAAACUGGUUUUCUUGAGUGAAGUAGAGGUUGGCGGAAUUCCGAGUGUAGCGGUGAAAUGCGUAGAUAUUCGGAGGAACACCGGUGGCGAAGGCGGCCAACUGGGCUUUAACUGACGCUGAGGCUCGAAAGUGUGGGGAGCAAACAGG